rnacentral:rRNA from 1 species
UAGAGCGGCGGACGGGUGAGUAACACGUGGACAAUCUGCCCCCCGGCCCGGGAUAGCCCAGGGAAACCUGGAUUAAUACCGGAUGAGACGGGACCCGCGAAGGCGGGACCCGGGAAAGGCGCUGCGGCGCCGCCGGGGGAUGAGUCCGCGUCCCAUUAGGCUAGACGGCGGGUAACGGCCACCGUGGCGACGAUGGGUAGCCGGCCUGAGAGGGUGACGGCACAUUGGAACUGAGACACGGUCCAGACUCCUACGGGAGGCAGCAGCUAAGAAUCUUCCGCAAUGGGCGAAAGCCUGACGGAGCGACGCCCGCGUGAACGAAGAAGGCCGUGAGGUUGUAAAGUUCUUUUCGGGAGGGGGAACAACCGUGGCAGGGAAUGGCCGCGGGAUGACGUGAAUCCCGGAAUAAGCCCCGGCUAACUACGUGCCAGCAGCCGC